CAUGUAGGCGGCAUGACAAGUCUGGUGUGAAAUAUCUCGGCUCAACCGAGAAAACGCACUGGAAACUGUCAAGCUUGAGUGUCGGAGGGGAAGCUAGAAUUCCUGGUGUAGGGGUGAAAUCUGUAGAUAUCAGGAAGAAUACCGGUGGCGAAGGCGAGCUUCUGGCCAGAUACUGACGCUGAGAUGCGAAAGCGUGGGGAGCGAACAGGAUUAGAUACCCUGGUAGUCC
rnacentral:rRNA from 1 species